AUACGAAGGGUGCGAGCGUUAAUCGGAAUUACUGGGCGUAAAGCGCGCGUGGGCGGUUGGAUAAGUCGGAUGUGAAAGCCCCGGGCUCAACCUGGGAAUUGCAUUCGAAACUGUCCGGCUAGAGUAUGGUAGAGGGAAGCGGAAUUCCACAUGUAGCGGUGAAAUGCGUAGAUAUGUGGAGGAACACCAGUGGCGAAGGCGGCUUCCUGGACCAAUACUGACGCUGAGGUGCGAAAGCGUGGGGAGCAAACAGGAUUAGAUACCCUAGUAGUCC
rnacentral:rRNA from 1 species